GAUGAACGCUGGCGGCGUGCCUAAUACAUGCCAGUCGAGCGAACGGACGAGAAGCUUGCUUCUCUGAUGUUAGCGGCGGACGGGUGAGUAACACGUGGAUAACCUACCUAUAAGACUGGGAUAACUUCGGGAAACCGGAGCUAAUACCGGAUAAUAUUUUGAACCGCAUGGUUCAAAAGUGAAAGACGGUCUUGCUGUCACUUAUAGAUGGAUCCGCGCUGCAUUAGCUAGUUGGUAAGGUAACGGCUUACCAAGGCAACGAUGCAUAACCGACCUGUGAGGGUGAUCGGCGGCACUGGAACGGAGACACGGUCCAGAGGCCUACGGGAGGCAGCAGUAGGGAAUGGUCCGCAGUGGGCGAAAGCAUGACGGAACAACGCCGCGUGAGUGAAGAAGGUCCUCGGAUCGUAAAACUGUGUUAUUAGUGAAGAACAUAUGUGUAAGGAACUGAGCACAUAGUGACGGUAACUAAUAAGAAAGCAACGGCUAACUACGUG
rnacentral:rRNA from 1 species